rnacentral:pre_miRNA from 1 species
AAAGUACUCCCUCCGAUCCUAAAUUGUUGUCGAAAUAUUACAUGUAUCUAGACACUUUUUAAGAAUAGAUACAUCCAUAUUUGGACAAAUUUGAGACAAGAAUUUAGGAUCGGAGGGAGUACUAG